ensembl:lncRNA
GUAGACGUCUACCCUCUCUCCCCUUCACCCUCACCCUGACCAGUCGAGGCAGACGUCCAUCCUCUCUCCCCUUCACCCUCACCCCGACCAGUCGAGGUAGACGUCUACCCUCCCUGAGCCCGGUUCUGCUGGAGGUUUUUCCUGUUAAAAUUGAGGUGUUUUAUUCCAGAUUUGUUGGCUUUCUCUCUGUAAUUUCAUAAUUUCUCCACCUUACUAUGUGAAGUAAUUUGAAUGACAUGUUGUGAUGGUUAUCUUAACUCCUCUUUCAAACCAUCUCUGCCUACAAUAUGAACAUUACAGUCCUCAAAAGAGUGUCCCGUUCCCUUGUCAUUUAGAUGCCUAAGGAAUUGACUCUUCUGUAAUAUACCUUGCACUUAUGAAACAGUUAACUCUUCCCUAUAUAUCCGUCUGCUAUUGACCUAUGAACAUGGCAUCGGUUUUUGUAACAAUGCUUCUUGUUCUGUCCCUAUUAAAUAACCGUAUAAAUAAAUCUGUGCACUCAUGCUGCAUUGGACUGCAUCUACAACAUUGCUCAGCUUGUGUUUGGUGGUUUUAUCUUUAGGGUGAACCACUUUUUGAUGUUGCUGUUUCACAGUGUUGUAUUUUUCAGAAAAGCCUUCUAAGUUCUUCACCAGCUACAUAAGGGGUGCUGUUGGAAAAAUGUUUUGCUGGCUGUUCUUUAUGGAAAUGGUUUGAUGUAUAUCAACAUUCUGGUUAAAGUAUAGCUCCCAAUAUGACUUCCUAUUUAAAAAUCUACAACCUAUGAGCAAGAAAACUAUACUGGUUUGAGAAAUGUAACUGCAAAACACACAAGAUGUUUCCUACUUGAACUUCAUCCUCACUGUAUGUGCAUUUGAGAAUUUAAGUUGUGAGGUUAGAAAACCAUGUUUGUACCUCUACUAUACCUCUUAAAAUCCGAUUUAAGGUAAAGUCAGACAAAUAUUUGCCCUUCAGUAGGUGGUAAACAGUAAAAGAAAUCUUCACAACAACACUCAAACAUCCAAGUGGGAUAGCAUGAAGUAAAAACACCUGUAAGUGUUGGGCUGUCGAAUUUUAAUUUCUUCCUUUGUCCAAUCAACACUCCAAUAUCGAAAGAUUUUCUUAACAGUCACUGGAGAUCGCAAAGACAUAGCAAAUAUGCACUUCUGAGAAGCUGAAACCAGUGAAUUUUCUGUAUUUGGAUUUAAAAACUGUUCUAUUAACAAAUGCCUCCAGCUCUGGGUUUGUGCAGGAUUAUUGUACCACCUCUGGUAUGAUGUGCGUUUAAAAAAACAAAACAAAACUCCAUAGAAAAUAACAAAUACAUAAUUGAGACCAUUUACAUUGCAAACCAACAAAUGCCUUCAAAUCACUGCAAGAAAUAAACAGCUGUGUAUUUGGUUUACUGUUUAUUCCUCUAAUCCACGUCUCAGAAUUUCUUUCUGUGCUCUUAUUGUGAAAUUUUAAAGAACUAAGUCACUAAAGCAAGAACCGUGUGACAGUGAAUGAGUGGGUGAGAAAUAAAGCACAUCAGAGAAUAAACUACAACCCAAAGUAACAUCCUGAAUAUUAACCCUCAUGUCAUCCUGCGGGUCAAAACUGACCCGUUUUAAAGUUUGAAAAUGUGGAAAAUAUAAUUUCACAGUGAAACUUCUGAUGUCCACAUUUUCAACAUUUUUGGGAAAUCUUUGAACAUUUUUUGGUGGAAAAAGAGAAAUGUUGAAAACGUUUCUUAAGAACAUUCACAAAACAAUCAACCAAAAUCCAGCAAAUUUCGCUGGAUUUUGGUUGAUUUUUUUUUGUGAAUGUUCUUAAAGAGAAUCUUAAAAAUUUUACUGAUAUAUAUGGAAUCACUUUAGAUAUUUUUAGGAGUUUUUUGGAAGAUUUUUACUCAUUUUUGAAAAAUAUUUACAGGAAUUUUCUUCCAAAAUUUGGGGAAUUUUUUUUAAAAUAAAACUUUUAAGGGAAACUUUUAAGGAAUUAUUGGAAUUUUCUUCCUAAAGGUUUUUCAAAUUUUCAGAAAUUUGGUGAAUCUUUUUGCUGAAUUUUUGAUUUUUUUUUCAGACAAAGAAACAUUAUUUCUUGGUGCUCGUAAAUGAGGACAACAGGAGGGUUAAGGAAAGAUGAUCCAGGUUCGUACAAAAUUCACUAAAAUUACUGUAAUAAAAAGGAACUAAUAAACACAAUAUUAUUAAAUACAGUUACAUAAAUAAAGCUGACUCUCAAAUAGCUGAUUUUUUCUGACAAAUUGUUUUCCAGGAACAAUUUCAAUUAACAUUUCCAUCACUGUUCUCCUUACUGUUCACAACACUUGGCCAUUUAAUAUUCUCAUUACUAAAAUAAUCCAGCACAGUAAAAUGUUCAAAUACGGCACCGAUGAUAUCAAUAAAUAAUUCAAGCACGGUGAGCGACAUGCAAAUACAAACACGUGAACUGCGAACGUCUCGGAACUUAAAAAACUGACAUAAACAGUGUGACAGAAGAUGCAUCUUUCUAUUCAAACCGCUGCACAAGCAUCGUCUUCUUGGCUUUGAUGCUGUGAGGAGUGGAACCAGGCAGGUGAAGGAGAAGCAGCCGCCCUCCACGUGACCAACGCCCCCCUGCC